rnacentral:rRNA from 1 species
GUCUAUGGUCAUGCCAUUCUGAAUGUGCCCGAUCUCAUCUGAUCUCGGAAGCUAAGCAGGGUCGGGCCUGAUUAGCACUUGGAUGGGAGACCACCUAGGAAUACCAGGUGCUGUAGGCA